UACAGAGGGUGCGAGCGUUAAUCGGAAUUACUGGGCGUAAAGCGUGCGUAGACGGUUAUGUAAGUCAGAUGUGAAAGCCCCGGGCUCAACCUGGGAAUUGCAUUUGAGACUGCAUAGCUAGGGUGCGGAAGAGGGAAGCGGAAUUUCCGGUGUAGCGGUGAAAUGCGCAGAUAUCAGGAGGAACACCAAUGGCGAAGGCAGCUCGCUGGGACGUGACUGACGCUGAGACGCGAAAGCGUGGGGAGCAAACAGG
rnacentral:rRNA from 1 species